GUGAACGCCCUCACGGGCUUAUAACUAUUCCAAACCUCUGUGAACCGUGCCCUUCGGGGCUAUUUACAAACAUGGUGUAAUGAACGUCAUAUAUCAUAACAAAACA
rnacentral:misc_RNA from 1 species